rnacentral:rRNA from 1 species
UUGAACGCUGGCGGCAGGCCUAACACAUGCAAGUCGAACGGUAACAGGAAGCAGCUUGCUGUUUCGCUGACGAGUGGCGGACGGGUGAGUAAUGUCUGGGAAACUGCCUGAUGGAGGGGGAUAACUACUGGAAACGGUAGCUAAUACCGCAUAACGUCGCAAGACCAAAGAGGGGGACCUUCGGGCCUCUUGCCAUCGGAUGUGCCCAGAUGGGAUUAGCUAGUAGGUGGGGUAACGGCUCACCUAGGCGACGAUCCCUAGCUGGUCUGAGAGGAUGACCAGCCACACUGGAACUGAGACACGGUCCAGACUCCUACGGGAGGCAGCAGUGGGGAAUAUUGCACAAUGGGCGCAAGCCUGAUGCAGCCAUGCCGCGUGUAUGAAGAAGGCCUUCGGGUUGUAAAGUACUUUCAGCGGGGAGGAAGGGAGUAAAGUUAAUACCUUUGCUCAUUGACGUUACCCGCAGAAGAAGCACCGGCUAACUCCGUGCCAGCAGCCGCGGUAAUACGGAGGGUGCAAGCGUUAAUCGGAAUUACUGGGCGUAAAGCGCACGCAGGCGGUUUGUUAAGUCAGAUGUGAAAUCCCCGGGCUCAACCUGGGAACUGCAUCUGAUACUGGCAAGCUUGAGUCUCGUAGAGGGGGGUAGAAUUCCAGGUGUAGCGGUGAAAUGCGUAGAGAUCUGGAGGAAUACCGGUGGCGAAGGCGGCCCCCUGGACGAAGACUGAUGCUCAGGUGCGAAAGCGUGGGGAGCAAACAGGAUUAGAUACCCUGGUAGUCCACGCCGUAAACGAUGUCGACUUGGAGGUUGUGCCCUUGAGGCAUGGCUUCCGGAGCUAACGCGUUAAGUCGACCGCCUGGGGAGUACGGCCGCAAGGUUAAAACUCAAAUGAAUUGACGGGGGCCCGCACAAGCGGUGGAGCAUGUGGUUUAAUUCGAUGCAACGCGAAGAACCUUACCUGGUCUUGACAUCCACGGAAGUUUUCAGAGAUGAGAAUGUGCCUUCGGGAACCGUGAGACAGGUGCUGCAUGGCUGUCGUCAGCUCGUGUUGUGAAAUGUUGGGUUAAGUCCCGCAACGAGCGCAACCCUUAUCCUUUGUUGCCAGCGGUCCGGCCGGGAACUCAAAGGAGACUGCCAGUGAUAAACUGGAGGAAGGUGAGGAUGACGUCAAGUCAUCAUGGCCCUUACGACCAGGGCUACACACGUGCUACAAUGGCGCAUACAAAGAGAAGCGACCUCGCGAGAGCAAGCGGACCUCAUAAAGUGCGUCGUAGUCCGGAUUGGAGUCUGCAACUCGACUCCAUGAAGUCGGAAUCGCUAGUAAUCGUGGAUCAGAAUGCCACGGUGAAUACGUUCCCGGGCCUUGUACACACCGCCCGUCACACCAUGGGAGUGGGUUGCAAAAGAAGUAGGUAGCUUAACCUUCGGGAGGGCGCUUACCACUUUGUGAUUCAUGACUGGGGUG